GGUGGAUGCCUUGGCAGUCAGAGGCGAUGAAGGACGUAGUAACUUGCGAUAAGCCCAGAUUAGGUAGUAACAACCAUUUGAGUCUGGGAUUUCCGAAUGGGGAAACCCACUAGCAUAAGCUAGUAUCGUUAUGUGAAUACAUAGCAUAACGAGGCGAACCGGGGGAACUGAAACAUCUAAGUACCCCGAGGAAAAGAAAUCAACC
rnacentral:rRNA from 1 species